GAUGAACGCUAGCGACAGGCCUAACACAUGCAAGUCGAGGGAAAGGGUAGCAAUACCUAAAACCGGCGCACGGGUGAGUAACGCGUAUGUAACCUGCCUACAACAGGGGGAUAGCUUUCGGAAACGGAAAUUAAUACCGCAUAAGACCACGCUCUCGCAUGGGAGUGUAGUAAAAUUUACGGAGGUUGUAGAUGGGCAUGCGUGACAUUAGCUAGUUGGUAAGGUAACGGCUUACCAAGGCAACGAUGUCUAGGGGUUCUGAGAGGAAGGUCCCCCACACUGGUACUGAGACACGGACCAGACUCCUACGGGAGGCAGCAGUGGGGAAUUUUGGACAAUGGACGCAAGUCUGAUCCAGCCACGCCGCGUGCGGGAAGAAGGCCUUCGGGUUGUAAACCGCUUUUGUCGGAGAAGAAAUCUUCUGGGUUAAUACCUCGGGAGGAUGACGGUAUCUGAAGAAUAAGCACCGGCUAACUACGUGCCAGCAGCCGCCGUAAGAC
rnacentral:rRNA from 1 species